rnacentral:lncRNA from 1 species
CAGGCGCGUUGGAGUGUUCGGGUAAAAAAUGGCUGAAUAUUUAGCUUCGAUAUUCGGGACUGAGAAGGACAAGUGAGAAUGGUGAAGGGAGUGGCCUCUCAGGGAGCCGGGGCACUUGGGUCCCUACGGGCUGGACGGACAGUGUUCGUGGGAUGCCCGGCCUUCCCGGCCCUCGGUUUACCUCUGUCUUUGCACCUCUUCCAGGGUUAACUGCUCUUUUUACUUUAAGAUUGGGGCCUGCCGGCACGGGGACCGGUGCUCCCGACUUCACAACAAACCGACUUUCAGCCAGGUGAGACCCAGAUUCACGCCUCCCCGCGCUUCAUCUGCUGUCCAUCAUCUCAGGGUCCCGCCUCUUCCGGAUUACUAAAGCCAAUCCUACCCCUGUUUGCUUUCUGACCUGGCCCUGGGUAGACCCUUCUUCCCAGGGACUGGACCCCGCCUCCCAUGAACACCGACCACGCCCCUUGGCUGUCUAGGUAGUUUUGGCGUCUCUGACUCCACUGGCUCACAUCUCUCCCCAACUUCAGAGUUGGGUACACUCUGCAUGCAGUCCCGCUUUCUGAGCUCAGGUCUCUUUUAAAUUUUGUUCAGACCAUAGUCCUGCUCAACUUGUACCGGAACCCACAGAACACAGCCCAAACUGCAGAUGGAUCACACUGUGAGUAAGAAACUAGAUAGUUCAGAGGCUGGGCGGACAGCCCCCAGCAGUUUACGCCCUCAUUUCACCCUCCGGUCCCUCCUCCAGGUCACGUGAGCGAUGUGGAGGUGCAAGAACACUAUGAUAACUUCUUUGAGGUGAGGGUUGCCAGGGUAACCUAACCGGGUUUCCUGUGGGCCAGACCUUAGCUGAGCUUUUCCCCAUCUUCUGCAGGAGGUAUUCACAGAACUGCAGGAGAAGUAUGGAGAAAUUGAAGAGAUGAAUGUGUGUGAUAACCUCGGGGACCACCUCGUGGGCAAUGUCUAUGUUAAGUUCCGGCGGGAGGAGGAUGCAGAGCGGGCUGUGGCGGAACUCAAUAACCGCUGGUUCAACGGGCAGGCUGUGCAUGCUGAGCUGUCUCCGGUCACUGACUUCCGAGAGUCAUGCUGCCGACAGUAUGAGAUGGGGUCACCUCCAAGGUCCCAUACAGGUCACCGACCCCGAGAAAGGAACCGACGCCGUUCCCCAGACCACCGGCAUGGUCGCUUCUGAGACUGGUGCCCUUGCUCUUCACCCAAGGGCAUAGAUGUUCCUGUCUAGCAUCCCUUCUCAAAGCGCUCUACACGUUCCAGUCCCAUCACCCCCAGGCUUCAGAGCUUCAUAACACAAUGUUCGAUACAGGAACCUCCUCCUCCUCCUUUUGUCCCUCCUCCAAUAAAGCUUAAGAAGUUUGUCAACC